rnacentral:rRNA from 1 species
ACCUGAUACGGUUCUCAUGCUGGAGUGCAGAGAACCUCAAACGCUACGGCGCUACAGGAUGUGGCUGCGGCCGAUUAGGUAGACGGUGGGGUAACGGCCCACCGUGCCGAUAAUCGGUACGGGUUGUGAGAGCAAGAGCCCGGAGACGGAAUCUGAGACAAGAUUCCGGGCCCUACGGGGCGCAGCAGGCGCGAAACCUUUACACUGCACGCCAGUGCGAUAAGGGGACCCCAAGUGUGAGGGCAUAUAGCCCUCACUUUUGUGUACCGUAGGGAGGUACACGAAUAAGAGCUGGGCAAGACCGGUGCCAGCCGCCGCGGUAAUACCGGCAGCUCGAGUGAUGACCGAUUUUAUUGGGCCUAAAGCGUCCGUAGCUGGCCGCGUAGGUUCGUCGGGAAAUCCACCUGCUCAACAGGUGGGCGUCCGGCGAAAACCACGUGGCUUGGGACCGGAAGGCUCGAGGGGUACGUCCGGGGUAGGAGUGAAAUCCCGUAAUCCUGGACGGACCGCCGAUGGCGAAAGCACCUCGAGAAGACGGAUCCGACAGUGAGGGACGAAAGCUGGGGUCUCGAACCGGAUUAGAUACCCGGGUAGUCCCAGCCGUAAACAAUGCCUGUUAGGUGUGGCACCGACUACGAGUCGGUGCUGUGCCGU